CGGAGGGUGCAAGCGUUAUCCGGAUUCACUGGGUUUAAAGGGUGCGUAGGUGGGUUGGUAAGUCAGUGGUGAAAUCUCCGAGCUUAACUUGGAAACUGCCAUUGAUACUAUCAGUCUUGAAUACCGUGGAGAUGAGCGGAAUAUGUCAUGUAGCGGUGAAAUGCUUAGAUAUGACAUAGAACACCAAUUGCGAAGGCAGCUCGUUACACGAAUAUUGACACUCAGGCACGAAAGCGUGGGGAUCAAACAGGAUUAGAUACCCUGGUAGUCCACGCCCUAAACGAUGGAUACUCGACAUUUGCGAUACACAGCAAGUGUCUGAGCGAAAGCAUUAAGUAUCCCACCUGGGAAGUACGAUCGCAAGAUUG
rnacentral:rRNA from 1 species